rnacentral:snRNA from 1 species
ACAUGUGAGGGUGAUCUGGCUGCAAUGUGUCACCCCACUGAUCGCUAGGGUGUAUUUGGCUGAUCUGGCUGGCUAGGCUGGUGUCCCCUUCCUCCCUCACCGCUCCAUGUGCAUCCCUUCCAAAGCUGCAGGGUCGAAGAGGAUAACCUCCCAGACAGAGGAGUACUGUUCUUCGUCAAGGGUAUACUGUAGCUGCCCUCCCCUGCUAGAACCUCCGAACAAGAUCAACCUGACUGGGUAGGGUAGACCAGGCCACAGACUCAGUGACAGACCCAGGCACAAAGAGUAGUAGUCU